GCCCGGGUGGCGUAAUUGGUAGCCGCGCUCGACUUAAGAUCGAGUUCCUCACGGAGUGCGAGUUCGAUUCUCGCCCCGGGCACAA
rnacentral:tRNA from 1 species